rnacentral:rRNA from 2 species
UGGGGGAUCUUGCACAAUGGAGGCAACUCUGAUGCAGCGACGCCGCGUGAGUGAAGACGGUCUUCGGAUUGUAAAGCUCUGUCAACGGGGACGAUAAUGACGGUACCCGUGGAGGAAGCCACGGCUAACUACGUGCCAGCAGCCGCGGUAAUACGUAGGUGGCAAGCGUUGUCCGGAAUUACUGGGUGUAAAGGGAGUGUAGGCGGGAUAUCAAGUUGGAUGUGAAAUACCGAGGCUUAACCUCGGGGCUGCAUCCGAAACUGGUAUUCUUGAGUGAAGUAGAGGCAGGCGGAAUUCCUAGUGUAGCGGUGAAAUGCGUAGAUAUUAGGAGGAACACCAGUGGCGAAGGCGGCUUGCUGGGCUUUUACUGACGCUGAGGCUCGAAAGCGUGGGGAGCAAACAGG